rnacentral:rRNA from 1 species
UACGAGGGGUGCGAGCGUUGCUCGGAAUUAUUGGGCGUAAAGGGUAGGUAGGUGGUCUCGUUUGUCUGGGGUGAAAUCCUUGGGCUUAACUCAAGAAGUGCCUCGGAAACGGCGAGACUAGAGUACUGGAGAGGGUCGUGGAAUUCCCGGUGUAGCGGUGAAAUGCGUAGAUAUCGAGAGGAACACCUGCGGCGAAGGCGGGUUGCUGGGCUGACACUGACGCUGAGGCGCGAAAGCUAGGGGAGCGAACGGG